CGCCCGCGCAAGCGGGAGGAAAGUCCGGACUCCACAGAGCGGGAAGACCGGCUGCAAUGGCCGGUGGGCGCGGGGCAAACCCGCGCGACGGAAAGUGCCACAGAGACAAACCGCCGCCUUCGGGCGGUAAGGGUGAAAAGGUGGGGUAAGAGCCCACCGGCGGCGGGCGAAAGCCCCCGCGCAAGGCAAACCCCUUCCGGAGCAAGCCCAAAUAGGCGGAGAGGCGCUGCUCGCGCCGCCAACGGCCUCGGCCGAAUCCGCGGGUUGGGCGCUUAGUUUGAUGAUUGGCGCCCGCAAGGGUACAGAAAUCGGCUUACAGCCCCG
rnacentral:RNase_P_RNA from 1 species